rnacentral:rRNA from 1 species
UAUUUUAGUCUUGUUAGAGGAACCUGUUUUAUAAUCGAUAAACCACGUAUAUUUCACUUAUUUUAAAUAACUUGUAUACCGUCAUUAUUAGAUAACUUUUCAAAAAAUUAGUUAUUAAAAUUAAAAACAAAAUUAAAUAUAUUAGAUCAAGGUGCAGUUAAUAAAUAAGAAAAAAUGGGUUACAAUAAAAUUUAUUUAAAACGAAUUAUAUAAAUGUAAAAAUAUAUGAAGGAGGAUUUAAUUGUAAUUUUUUAUAAGAUAAUAAUAUGAUAAUAGCUCUAAAAUAU